CCGAAGACACUGUAUGCAUCCUAAACAUGAACGAUGGGCCCACCGCAAAAGUGUGUAUCAUCAGAAAGAUGCUGGAGCACAAGGGCCAUGAGAAUUCGCACUCAGAGAAUGUGACAAACCGCAUCCACCCAGACCUGGUCGCAUAUAUUGAGAUCUUGGAUCUUCAAGGCAAGGCAUGACAUUGCUAACAGUAUCAUGAAUAGGGUGAAGAGCAGUGGGUGGCGGACAGGGGAUUCAUCCCAUCUCUCAGGGACAUCCUGUAUCUAAAGAAUCAAAUGAAGACCCUGGACAGGCAUCAUGAAAACAACUAAUUGAGUGUUGACUCGUUUGUGAAAACAACCCUUAAGAGUGAGACAUUGUACUAUCAGCCUCUCUGCAGAGCAACAGGUCAACCACUGAUACUCAUAUUUCAAAAUGCAGAGCAGAGGCACAAAAUGUUGCAGUGUGGGAAGAAUCUACUUUCCAUGGACGCUUCAUAUUUUGGCAGUAGUUGGCAGGGAUGAAAGUGGGCAUGGCUCCCCGGUGGCAACAUUCAUCAUCACUGAAGAGACCCAGAAAAACAUUGCCUUCUGCCUGAGAAAGAUCUGGACAGCUGCUCACGACUUUGAGACAAGGAAAUGAUUACCUCAUAGAAGUAGACUCUUACAGCAACGACAGGACAUACUACAUACAACCUUCAUGGGGAGAAAGACUAAUGAAGAUGCUUCAGGAUCAUUGGAGGAACCACUUCCCUAUCCCUUUGGCCUACCUAAAAAUAACUGGUUCCCUUGUUCUCCUAUGUGGGCUGACCACUGGAGGAAGUUCUUCCACGAGAACAGCAACACCAACAAUCUCACCGAGAGAUUUUUCCUGCACUUUAAAUAUCAAUUUCUGAAGGGUACUGCCAAUCGAAGACUAGAUGAUUUUCUGAAACUCCUUGCAAGUCAGGCGAAUGGAUAUUUCAGGUAUUUAGAUGUUUUUCCCCCAACUAACACACCACUGUAACAACAU
rnacentral:lncRNA from 1 species